AACCUUGCGCAGUGACAUAUCGUAACCAAUGAAGUCUCCUGAGGGGCGAUUAUUGCUAGUUGAA
rnacentral:snRNA from 1 species